GAAACCAGGAUUAGAUACCCUGUUACACUUUAUAUAAAUCACAGUAUUACCUGGGUAUUAAACAGUUAUUGUCUUGAAACUCAAAGGAUUUGGCGGUAAUUUAGUCUAUUUAGAGGAACCUGUCCUAUAAUCGAUAGUCCACGAAAAAUCUUACUUUAUCUUGUAGAAAACAGUUUGUAUACCGUCAUUAUCAGAUAACUUUAAUAAAAUCUAAAGUUAUUGAAAGAGUUUAGCUAAUAUAUUAGAUCAAGGUGCAGCUUAUGUUAAAGGAAGAGAUGGGUUACAAUAUAAUAAUUAUAAACGGAGUAAUAAGUGAAUACUUAUUAUUGAAGGUGGAUUUAAAAGUAAAAGGAUUUUAAUAAGAUUUUUUGACCUUAGCUCUAGGUUAUGUACAUAUCGCCCGUCGCU
rnacentral:rRNA from 1 species